rnacentral:rRNA from 1 species
UGGGGAGUACGACCGCAAGGUUGAAACUCAAAGGAAUUGACGGGGGCCCGCACAAGCGGUGGAGCAUGUGGUUUAAUUCGAAGCAACGCGAAGAACCUUACCAGGUCUUGACAUCCUUUGACCACUCUAGAGAUAGAGCUUUCCCUUCGGGGACAAAGUGACAGGUGGUGCAUGGUUGUCGUCAGCUCGUGUCGUGAGAUGUUGGGUUAAGUCCCGCAACGAGCGCAACCCUUAUUGUUAGUUGCCAUCAUUUAGUUGGGCACUCUAGCGAGACUGCCGGUGACAAACCGGAGGAAGGUGGGGAUGACGUCAAAUCAUCAUGCCCCUUAUGACCUGGGCUACACACGUGCUACAAUGGGAAGUACAACGAGUCGCUAGACCGCGAGGUCAUGCAAAUCUCUUAAAGCUUCUCUCAGUUCGGAUUGCAGGCUGCAACUCGCCUGCAUGAAGCCGGAAUCGCUAGUAAUCGCGGAUCAGCACGCCGCGGUGAAUACGUUCCCGGGCCUUGUACACACCGCCCGUCACACCACGAGAGUUUGUAACACCCGAAGUCGGUGAGGUAACCUUUUUGGAGCCAGCCGCCUAAGGUGGGAUAGAUGAUUGGGGUGAAGUCGUAACAAGGUAGCCGUAUCGGAAGGUGCGGCUGGAUCACCUCCUUUCUAAGGAA